AUAUACAUACAUUACGAUUUAGACUGUGUAAGGUAGAUGUGGCCUGAAUAUAACCGAAAUGAAUAACUUGAUGGUGGCCAAUUUUGCUGGUCUGACUAAGAACAGCCAGCUUUUUGUUCUAUGAAAUUCCAGCAAUGCUAGAGUCCAUUGUAGUUUUCUGGAAGUGAGUUGUAGAAAAGCGCGACAAAGUCAAGAACUAUAGUGGUGUUUUAGACUUAGCAAUUUAAUUUAAAAAAGGUACCAGCCAUGUUUAGUAGGACCAUAGUUUCAAACUUGAAUGUGGAUUAACGAUUUUCAAAAGUAUGACUUGAAAAGAUAAAUUGGAAUUAUUUAGAAAAUUUCUGUUUCUUGUACGGUAGACUUUUUAUAAUGGAUACGAUGGAUGAACGUAAGUAAGUCACAUGAAUUUUAGAUUUUGAAGACAACUAUAAGCAGCGAUAAAAAGUGUACUCAAAGUUAAUUCAUACUUCAAUUAAGCAGGUUUAAGAUAUUUGACGGUCAUAAUAAAAUCACUAAAUCCAAAGUAAUAAUAGUUUAUGGAUUUACACAUGCCAUGUUCAGCAAAUUUGUUCAUAUUUGAUUCAAACACAUGAGAUCCAGCAAGAUUUCACGCUCUUCAUUUUAUGUCAUCAGUUUCGAUUAGUUUUAAACUGUUAAAUAGAACUUUUCACGAAUGCAAUGAAUAUAUACAUGAAUCGU